UACGUAGGAGGCGAGCGUUGUCCGGAGUUACUGGGCGUAAAGGGUGCGCAGGCGGUGGCCCGCGUGGGCGGUGAAAGCUCCCGGCUCAACUGGGAGAGCGCCUCGAAGACGGCGGCACUUGAGGGCCAGAGAGGGACACGGAACUCCGGGUGGAGUGGUGAAAUGCGUAGAUAUCCGGAAGAACACCAAAGGCGAAGGCAGUGUCCUGGCUGGUUCCUGACGCUGAGGUGCGAAAGCUAGGGGAGCGAACGGG
rnacentral:rRNA from 1 species